UACAGAGGGUGCAAGCGUUGUUCGGAAUUAUUGGGCGUAAAGGGUGCGUAGGCGGUGCGGUAAGUCUGUAGUGAAAUCUCUGGGCUCAACUCAGAGUCUGCUAUAGAAACUGCCGUGCUCGAGUAUGGGAGAGGUGAGUGGAAUUCCCGGUGUAGCGGUGAAAUGCGUAGAUAUCUGGAGGAACACCGGUGGCGAAGGCGGCAGCCUGGACCGGUAUUGACGCUGAGGCGCGAAAGCCAGGGGAGCAAGCGGG
rnacentral:rRNA from 1 species